rnacentral:rRNA from 1 species
GACGAACGCUGGCGGCGUGCCUAAUACAUGCAAGUAGAACGCUGAAGGAGGAGCUUGCUUCUCUGGAUGAGUUGCGAACGGGUGAGUAACGCGUAGGUAACCUGCCUGGUAGCGGGGGAUAACUAUUGGAAACGAUAGCUAAUACCGCAUAAUAUUGACUAUUGCAUGAUAGUCAGUUGAAAGGUGCAACUGCACCACUACCAGAUGGACCUGCGUUGUAUUAGCUAGUUGGUGGGGUAACGGCUCACCAAGGCGACGAUACAUAGCCGACCUGAGAGGGGGAUCGGCCACACUGGGACUGAGACACGGCCCAGACUCCUACGGGAGGCAGCAGUAGGGAAUCUUCGGCAAUGGACGGAAGUCUGACCGAGCAACGCCGCGUGAGUGCAGAAGGUUUUCGGAUCGUAAAGCUCUGUUGUAAGAGAAGAACGAGUGUGAGAGUGGAAAGCUCACACUGUGACGGUAUCUUACCAGAAAGGGACGGCUAACUACGUG